rnacentral:rRNA from 1 species
GAUGAACGCUGGCGGCGUGCCUAAUACAUGCAAGUCGAACGAAACUUCUUUAUCACCGAGUGCUUGCACUCACCGAUAAAGAGUUGAGUGGCGAACGGGUGAGUAACACGUGGGCAACCUGCCCAAAAGAGGGGGAUAACACUUGGAAACAGGUGCUAAUACCGCAUAACCAUAGUUACCGCAUGGUAACUAUGUAAAAGGUGGCUAUACUACCGCUUUUGGAUGGGCCCGCGGCGCAUUAGCUAGUUGGUAGGGUAAAGGCUUACCAAGGCAAUGAUGCGUAGCCGAAUUGAGAGGUUGAUCGGCCACAUUGGGACUGAGACACGGCCCAAACUCCUACGGGAGGCAGCAGUAGGGAAUCUUCCACAAUGGGCGAAAGCCUGAUGGAGCAACGCCGCGUGGGUGAAGAAGGUCUUCGGAUCGUAAAACCCUGUUGUUAGAGAAGAAAGUGCGUGAGAGUAACUGUUCACGUUUCGACGGUAUCUAAACAGAAAGCCACGGCUAACUACGUG